GUGGGGAAUAUUGGACAAUGGGCGAAAGCCUGAUCCAGCCAUGCCGCGUGCAGGAAGAAGGCCUUCGGGUUGUAAACUGCUUUUGUACGGAACGAAACGGCUCUGGUUAAUACCCGGGGCUAAUGACGGUACCGUAAGAAUAAGCACCGGCUAACUACGUGCCAGCAGCCGCGGUAAUACGUAGGGUGCAAGCGUUAAUCGGAAUUACUGGGCGUAAAGCGUGCGCAGGCGGUUGUGUAAGACAGGCGUGAAAUCCCCGGGCUCAACCUGGGAAUUGCGCUUGUGACUGCACAGCUGGAGUGCGGCAGAGGGGGAUGGAAUUCCGCGUGUAGCAGUGAAAUGCGUAGAUAUGCGGAGGAACACCGAUGGCGAAGGCAAUCCCCUGGGCCUGCACUGACGCUCAUGCACGAAAGCGUGGGGAGCAAACAGGAUUAGAUACCCGAGUAGUCC
rnacentral:rRNA from 1 species